GAAAAAAUGACCAGCAAUGACGUUUGGCAUGGCUGUACAGAAUCGGUCGCAAGAACUUUGUUUCUUCGAAGAACACCUGCUUGUGUGAGAUCCACUUCCUUCCGGAUGAUCUUGAGAAACCAAGAGAUGCCAGCACCCAAUGCCGGAUAACCCAGGCAAAGCACUUGAAGCGCCACAUUUUACGAACAACCAAGGUGCACCUGAUAACCCAGAGGAAACCCCGCAUUGCGAGGGAGCACCUGCGAGCUCAGAAGGCAAUGACGAGUCUUUUGUGGAUGGAGGCACAGCGAUGGAAUGCUCUGUAGCAGGAAACCGGAGAAAUGGAAAGAACAUAAGCUUGGACAUGCUGCAAAAGAUGACCGAAUGAACGAGUCGUCACCAGUGCAAGAAGGCAAAAUGACGGGAAGGAGCACUUUUGCAGACAAUGACUCAUUUAAUUAGCUUUUGGUCUGAAAGCGGUAGCUGAAUUUGGAACAGAAGAAACGAGCACAGGCUGAAAAAUAGUGCAGAAGCCUGAAAGAGUCAUUUAGGAAGAUCUUUACUGAUGAUCGACUGUGUUAUCUUGGUAAAGGAACUAUGAAGGGAUCUACAUGGAGUGAUAGCACAGUGAAGGAAUCAUUAAAUGUUCGACUUUCUUGUGAAUCGAGAGGAUACGAAUACCUCCGUGACAGUGGAUCGCCACUGCCCGCAGAAAGAACGCUCCAGAAGAACAUUGAAAACAUCAACUUC